rnacentral:rRNA from 1 species
ACGCACGCUGGCGGCGUGCUUAACACCUGCAAGUCGAACGGAAAGGCCCUGCUUUUGUGGGGUGCUCGAGUGGCGAACGGGUGAGUAACACGUGAGUAACCUGCCCUUGACUUUGGGAUAACUUCAGGAAACUGGGGCUAAUACCGGAUAGGAGCUCCUGCUGCCUGGUGGGGGUUGGAAAGUUUCGGCGGUUGGGGAUGGACUCGCGGCUUAUCAGCUUGUUGGUGGGGUAGUGGCUUACCAAGGCUUUGACGGGUAGCCGGCCUGAGAGGGUGACCGGCCACAUUGGGACUGAGAUACGGCCCAGACGCCUACGGGAGGCAGCAGUGGGGAAUAUUGCACAAUGGGCGGAAGCCUGAUGCAGCAACGCCGCGUGCGGGAUGACGGCCUUCGGGUUGUAAACCGCUUUCGCCUGUGACGAAGCGUGAGUGACGGUAAUGGGUAAAGAAGCACCGGCUAACUACGUG